rnacentral:rRNA from 1 species
UACGAAGGGGGCUAGCGUUGUUCGGAAUCACUGGGCGUAAAGCGCACGUAGGCGGAUCUUUAAGUCAGAGGUGAAAUCCCAAGGCUCAACCUUGGAACUGCCUUUGAUACUGGGGAUCUUGAGUCCGGGAGAGGUGAGUGGAACUGCGAGUGUAGAGGUGAAAUUCGUAGAUAUUCGCAAGAACACCAGUGGCGAAGGCGGCUCACUGGCCCGGUACUGACGCUGAGGCGCGACAGCGUGGGGAGCAAACAGG